UACGGGGGGGCAAGCGUUGUUCGGAAUUACUGGGCGUAAAGGGCUCGUAGGUGGCCAACUAAGUCAGACGUGAAAUCCCUCGGCUUAACCGGGGAACUGCGUCUGAUACUGGAUGGCUUGAGUUUGGGAGAGGGACGCGGAAUUCCAGGUGUAGCGGUGAAAUGCGUAGAUAUCUGGAGGAACACCGGUGGCGAAGGCGGCGUCCUGGACCAGCACUGACACUGAUGAGCGAAAGCCAGGGGAGCAAACGGG
rnacentral:rRNA from 1 species